rnacentral:hammerhead_ribozyme from 1 species
AUCCAGCCGACGAGUCUCAAAUACAACGAAAUUCGCGUCCUGGAU